GACGGGUGAGUAACACGUGGGCAAUCUGCCCUGCACUCUGGGACAAGCCCUGGAAACGGGGUCUAAUACCGGAUAAUACUUUUCUCUGCAUGGGGAAAGGUUAAAAGCUCCGGCGGUGCAGGAUGAGCCCGCGGCCUAUCAGCUUGUUGGUGGGGUAAUGGCCUACCAAGGCGACGACGGGUAGCCGGCCUGAGAGGGCGACCGGCCACACUGGGACUGAGACACGGCCCAGACUCCUACGGGAGGCAGCAGUGGGGAAUAUUGCACAAUGGGCGAAAGCCUGAUGCAGCGACGCCGCGUGAGGGAUGACGGCCUUCGGGUUGUAAACCUCUUUCAGCAGGGAAGAAGCGAAAGUGACGGUACCUGCAGAAGAAGCGCCGGCUAACUACGUGCCAGCAGCCGCGGUAAUACGUAGGGCGCAAGCGUUGUCCGGAAUUAUUGGGCGUAAAGAGCUCGUAGGCGGUUUGUCACGUCGGAUGUGAAAGCCCGGGGCUUAACCCCGGGUCUGCAUUCGAUACGGGCAGACUAGAGUGUGGUAGGGGAGAUCGGAAUUCCUGGUGUAGCGGUGAAAUGCGCAGAUAUCAGGAGGAACACCGGUGGCGAAGGCGGAUCUCUGGGCCAUUACUGACGCUGAGGAGCGAAAGCGUGGGGAGCGAACAGGAUUAGAUACCCUGGUAGUCCACGCCGUAAACGUUGGGAACUAGGUGUUGGCGACAUUCCACGUCGUCGGUGCCGCAGCUAACGCAUUAAGUUCCCCGCCUGGGGAGUACGGCCGCAAGGCUAAACUCAAAGGAAUUGACGGG
rnacentral:rRNA from 1 species